CCUACGGGAGGCUGCAGUGGGGAAUAUUGGACAAUGGGGGCAACCCUGAUCCAGCCAUGCCGCGUGUGUGAAGAAGGCCCUCGGGUUGUAAAGCACUUUCAGUGAGGAAGAACGCCUGGUGGUUAAUACCCAUCAGGAAAGACAUCACUCACAGAAGAAGCACCGGCUAACUCCGUGCCAGCAGCCGCGGUAAUACGGAGGGUGCGAGCGUUAAUCGGAAUUACUGGGCGUAAAGCGCGCGUAGGUGGCUUGAUAAGCCGGUUGUGAAAGCCCCGGGCUCAACCUGGGAACGGCAUCCGGAACUGUCAAGCUAGAGGGCAGGAGAGGAAGGUAGAAUUCCCGGUGUAGCGGUGAAAUGCGUAGAGAUCGGGAGGAAUACCAGUGGCGAAGGCGGCCUUCUGGACUGACACUGACACUGAGGUGCGAAAGCGUGGGUAGCAAACAGGAUUAGAUACCCCUGUAGUC
rnacentral:rRNA from 1 species